CACGUAGGGGGCAAGCGUUGUCCGGAUUUAUUGGGCGUAAAGAGCUCGUAGGUGGCGUGUCGCGUCUGCCGUGAAAGCCCAUGGCUUAACUGUGGGUCUGCGGUGGAUACGGGCAGGCUGGAGGCUGGUAGGGGCAAGCGGAAUUCCUGGUGUAGCGGUGAAAUGCGCAGAUAUCAGGAGGAACACCGGUGGCGAAGGCGGCUUGCUGGGCCAGUUCUGACGCUGAGGAGCGAAAGCGUGGGGAGCGAACAGG
rnacentral:rRNA from 1 species